rnacentral:lncRNA from 1 species
CAGGGCACAUCUCAACUGGCAAAGAUGAGGGCGCUUCAAGGCUGGCAGAUCAGAGGUCAUGAGUUCGAUUCCUGGAAGGCUCUUGGAAGACCGAUAGUCUCCUGGAAGGCAGGAUUUAUUCCGAAAGGUAGGAGCUCUACUGGAAGGCAAGGUGUAAAGAUGGGAAACGACUUGUUUAGCACUUUGGCAGAUCAGUUGGGGGGUUCUUGAGCACUGAUCAAUUUGGGGCACAACCUGCGGUUUAACCUGUCUGCAGCUUGAGGGGCCAAGGUGUAGACUCCAGGAUUUAG